UACGGAGGGUGCGAGCGUUAAUCGGAAUUACUGGGCGUAAAGCGCGCGUAGGCGGUUUGCUAAGUCCGCUGUGAAAGCCCCGGGCUUAACCUGGGAACUGCAGUGGAUACUGGCAAGCUAGAGUAUGGUAGAGGAGAGUGGAAUUUCCGGUGUAGCAGUGAAAUGCGUAGAGAUCGGAAGGAACACCAGUGGCGAAGGCGGCUCUCUGGACCAAUACUGACGCUGAGGUGCGAAAGCGUGGGGAGCAAACAGGAUUAGAAACCCUAGUAGUCC
rnacentral:rRNA from 1 species